UUAAGUUCAGCGGGUAUCCCUACCUGAUCCGAGGUCAAACUAUAGAGGGCUUGCUGGAUGCUGAUCCACCAUAGCUUCAAGAAGCGCAAAUGUGCUGCGCUAGAAGCUGGCACGACCGCCGCCAAUAGCUUUAGGGCGAGUCCGCGCACGGAGGCGGGACAGGCGCCCAACACCAAGCAGAGCUUGAGGGUGAUAAUGAC
rnacentral:misc_RNA from 1 species